UCCAUUGCUCAGUUGGUAGAGCACAAGGCUCUUAACCUUGUGGACGUGGGUUCAAGCCCCAUGGUGGAA
rfam:Triticum aestivum genome assembly, contig: Triticum_aestivum_CS42_TGACv1_scaffold_306498_4AS